rnacentral:lncRNA from 1 species
AUUAAAUUGCUUUCUAAUUUUGAUGUGAAUAUAUAAUUGCUGAAGAAGUUUCGUCCCAAACAGGUAAUAGUUCCACAUUUUACAUAACAUUAUUGGAAUAGCAGAUGGAAGACAGCAGUUUUCCAUUUUUUUUCCAGAUUAUUCUCUUUUACAGCUACAUUAUCAUCAUCUUCCCUAGACGUUGAGAAGCCAUUUUUGAUUAGAAGUGUCAAACUCAAACCCUGUAUAUAAGAUAAGGCCAAAGGUGAGAAGAGAGUUAAAAGGCCUUAAGGGGCGAUGACUAGUGGUAGUAUGGUUAGUAUUUGAAAGAGACUUAUUUGAAAGAGACUUACUCAUGAAAUUCCACUUGGAUUAUACCGGCGUCAGGAUCAGCGAUGGCAGAGAAAGCAUCUUGAGAAAGAUUAAUGAUUCCCUGGCAUCCUGCUUUACAGUAGUCAACAACUUUAACCACGACACUCUUACCGUUCUUGCAAGGAUGCGGAGCUUCGUUGGCUCCUCCUACGCAUUUAACUCUGUAUCUCUUCCCGCAUGCCCCUCUGUUUUUCCACAACGCAUCACUUACUCCCGCAACCAUUUUCCCAUUGUUUUGGUUACCAAAGCAUGCUGAGGCUGUUUACAUUAUGUUGUAUUAAAAUAUUUCAAAAGGAAAUGUAGAAACGGCUAAACCAAAUUUGGCUUGUUCUUUUGAUAUCAAUAUGAUUUAAUUACGAGAUUCAAUAAAAAAAAUGAGAUAUGAUAUAUAUGCCAAAUAAUUAUACUUACGAACAUAAGGAGGAGCAAAGAAAACAGCCUUCCCCUGGAUGGCACGCACGACGGAGGUAAGACACAAGACCAUGCUCACGACCACAAAAACUCUAAUCUCAAUCCCCAUCUCUUCCAGGAAAUUGAUCUUCCUCAGUUUAAAUGUUUAUUAUUUUUCAGGGUUGUCAUGCCUUUUAUAGGUCUAAAACUUGAAACUCUCCCAUUAAAAUAAAAUUUUAAUUCGAUACACUGAUCAUGCAUAAUUUUUAUAUAAUGUCAAUCAUCAUAAACUGUCACUUCAUUAUACAUGAAAAUUUAAAAAUAAAUAUUGAUAAUUUCUUUAAAAUUUAAUUAUAUAAAAAAAUAAAAUCAUGUUUAUUUCUCUCUCAACUUUCACUCAUCUAAUUUCUUCUUCUGCUUCCUUUUCUUCUUUCAAACCUGAUCUCGAAAGCCCGACAGAUGUUUUCCCGAUUUUAGGUACGGCACAUAAGAUGCUUAUUGCCACGUCGCGAGAGUCCGUGACUACCCGUACAUUACAUUCUGGACGUGUUUACAGUUACUCAUGUUCUAAGCAUGUAAUUUUCUUUAACAAUUUAUGACUAUAGUUCAUUACCCAAUUUUCAGUUUUAUGAAAUUUAAAAACCACCAAAAACAAAAAAUUAUCUCCACAUUACAGAGUCCUUAAAAUGAUGUGCUCUUUGUGAAAAUUCAAGUUAUGUACCGCCCGAUUUAAUGAUUCUCCUGAUGAGGAGAUACUGCAUCGUCUGCGCUCCAUAUAUAUCCCUCCUAUAUCAUGUUAUGAUUUAUUAAAAUUCUGGUAGAUGAAAGCUGUGGAACAGCUUAUCAAUGGAAGAAGAAGAGAGGGGCUUUAAUUUGAGAUAGGAGGGAAAGAUGGGUCCGAAAGAAGAAGGAAGAAGAGGAGACUAGAGAGAAAUAAAUUUGAUCGUAAAUAAAUAUUAAAGAAACUAUUAAUAUUUAUUUUUAAAUUUUUAAAAAUAUUAAAUUCGUAUAAUAAAGUAAUAUUUUAUGAUGACUUUAUAUAUUAUCAGUACAUUAAAUAUACACAUUUUAAAAUAAUAAUAUGACUAUUUACAUGCAGUGAGUUCUCCACUAACACUCAACUUUGAUCAAGAGUCAAGAGUCAGUCCACAAAUUAGUCAUCCUCUUGGAAAUUCUUGCUUCACCUACCCACUAGUCUUUGGUAAGAAAUUUCCUCCCGCUCCACUUGGCUAAUGCCUAAUCUUUCCAUCAAGGGUUUGGGACUGCGGAUAUGAUGUUUGGAUUUUUGUUGGAAUUGUUUCACAUCUUACUUGUUUUCAAUUUGGUAUGAUUUUCUGCUCUCUUUCGUGGCAGAAGCAAAGAAAUUCUAAAACAACUUGGGUGGAAAAAGAAGAGAGUAGAUACUGUACAUGUUAUAAAUUAGAGAGUGCUCCAAUCAACAAAAAGUGUAAAGAUUAAAAAGUCGCAAUCGUGGCAUUUGGCCCCAAUUUAAUUACCAUAUCGAGGGGUAAUUUUCAAUAUCUCAAAAGCAUAUAGAUUCCCAUUUACUUUUGAGGCUAAAUUCUUGAGGAAACUACAAAACGAAAAAAAAAAAACUUAUAAAACUGUUUAUUAAAAUUAAUAUAAAAGCACACUCACAAAUUAGAUGUCUUCAAAAUUUUGUAACAUAAUAUUUUUAAAAAAGGUAAAAUACACUUAUCUUUUAAGUUUUGAUUCAAAUUACAUAGAAAUCUAUUAGUUUUUAAAAUAUAACAAGAGUCCUUUUCUUACACUUGUUUUUGCUGGAGAAAAUUAUUCCGUCCAAAAAAAAUAUUUUUCGUUGGACACUUAGCUCCAACUUGUUAACGUUAUUUGCAUUUUUGAAAUGGAUUGUCUAUUCAAAAACAUAUAAACCCCGUUUGAAAUUUUGACUAAAACUUAAAAAGACUAACGGUAUUUUAUCCUUAAAAAAAACUCAAAUUAUUCAAAAAAAUUUUAAAAAAAUUUAAGAUGAAAUAUGUCAUGUGGUCAUGGCAUCAUAUCAUAUCAUUAUCUACUAUGACAUGACAACAUACCACCUUAUCAUAUAUUAUAACAUGUCAUCAAGUUGCGUCAACAUCAUAUGGUAUAGAAAAUGCAUUCAAGCAUUUGACUCAUUGAUUAAUAUAUGAUUUUCUUAUUUACAGAGUAUGGAUUUGAGUCUCUUUUUUUCAUAAAAAAAAAAAUUAGUCACAAGAUCUUUUUUGACUCAAAAUAAAAAUAUGAAGGCUUAAUUGAACGAAAAAAAAAGAAUAAAAACUUAUUUGAAUUUUUCAAAAUAGUUUAGAAACUCUUUUAGGUAUUAUGUUAAAAUUUUUUAAUGCAUAAAUGAGUUUGGAUAUGGGAUAUUUAAAUGAUGUUUGUUGUAUGGUUGAAGGCAUAACUGAAUCUAUAUGUCCAUGUCGCCGUUGACAAUGAGCCUGCAAAGAAUUUGUGCAUGAAAAGUGGUUUCAUUAAUGAAAAUGAUGAGCCUGCGUGGCAAGCUAGAUUUUUAGAUGGGCCCCGAUGGAUUCUAUUAUGGAUUGGUCUUCCUUGCACUAAUGAGUUGUAAUGUUAUGGCUUUUCCUUUUGCCUUUAGUACUUUAUUAUAAGUCCUGAUUCUGGUACAUGUUUAUAUAAUUUGGAAAACUCGCCCAUUUUAAAACGGAAUGUAAGCUUCUUGUACAUCACCAGGUAGGAAGUUUUAUCCAGAAAAAUAAAAUCUCACAAAAGACUAUCCAUUUGAAGGUUCAAGUUUAAACGCUGAGAAAGAGGUGGAUUUUAUGAAAGAAGAGAAUAACUAUUGGUUGUGUAGUUUAAAGCUUUAUGGGCAUCUGUCUGUAUAUAGGGAAAAAAAUUAAAGAAAAACAUAGCUCAUUUCCCUUUUGAUAAAAUGUGCUGCUAUUUAGCAUGGUGACAUGGAUACUUGCAGGAAAUUGUUGCCAGUGCAAUGUUGCUUGUUACAUUUUUGGACAAGGUCCGUGAAAAGAAUAAUUUAACUUUAGAUAUUUGCUCUUCAAAGGAUGGGGGCCGGGAUAAAUUGAAUUGCUUACUAAUUUUGAUGUGAAUAUGUAAUUGCUAAAGAAGUUUCGUCCCAAACAAGUAAUAGUUCCACAUUUUGCAUAACUAACUUUAUUGGAAUAGCAGAUGGAAGACAGCAGUUUUCCAUUUGUUCCAGAUUAUUCUCUUUCACAGCUACAUUAUCAUCAUCUUCCCUAGACGUUGAGAAGCCAUUUUUGAUUAGAAGCAUCAAACUCAAGCCCUGUAUAUAUG